GCAUACUCUCCAGACUUAGACUACUCUUAGUGCCGGUUGAAAAUGAGAAGAUAAUUACAGGGAAAGACAAUAAAAGAAAGAAGCAAAGCUUAGGUUGAUCUGAGAUGCAAGUAGUAGUACUAGAAUGAAGUGAAGGGUGUCAAGGUUUUCUUCUAAAAUAAGGGAAGGUAUUGGAGCUACUACUCUCUUCAUGCUCAUCUGAUUCUUGGGUAAUACCACUGGCGCCAGAAGAUGAGGAAUAAGUCUUGUUCUGCGCCAAAAAGUCAUAGAAAACCAUCUUCAACUUCCUCACCUUCCGGUUAUCCACUCUCCCUCUCAAACUCCCCAUCUCCUUCUCCUCCCCAUUUCUACCACUUCUCCUCUUCAAAAAUAUGCGACAUAGAACCCAGUUUUCCAUGGGAACUUCAACCACAGGGCUCUGCACGCGCACACACAAACAAACCAAAAACACUGUAUGAGUAAUUAAUGCAUGCGUGGGGUUAAUUUGAAGUUAAUUUGGUAGCUCUGAAUCCUGACCUGAGACAGAGAGGAAGUGGGUGCGUUAAGGAGGCGAUAUUCAUGCAUGAUCCAGUCAGUUCUAGAUCCAUGAGGUGGCUUUCCUCUGUAGAAAACAAGUGUCUUCUUCAUCCCCACAACUUGGUUCCCUUUUGAAGUUACAAUUUGUUUGUCCAACCCAGUGGCCUUCCAAUAACCUGAAUUGGUGGCUCUGUUGGAGCGGUUGCCAUUAGGAUAUUUGGGCUCUUUGGUGCUGAAAAAGUACCUUUCUUUCUCUAAAUCACCUAAACACAGCACCCAGAAGGGAUUGCAGUUAGACUCAAUUAAUUGGGAAGAAGAGAGAGGGGAAGAAGAGAAUGAUAGGCACCUGGCAAAUCCCAAGGAUCAGACUUGCAAAGGGAAGGAGAAGACCUUCCGCUUUAAGUAUUGCACAACCAAUUCCUCGUCAGUUGGGUGGAAACGGAACCCCGGGGGUAAUCUGAGCUCCCCAUUCUUCACAAAAUUAAGUUUUUCCAUUCCACCACACCACACAACAACCUACUUCUCCUUCUCUGUAUAUGUUUUGAAUAUAGCAGUAUGGUACUAACAGUUUUGUGUGUCCGACUAGAGCAGAGCAGGCCAGUUGGGUGGGUGACAAUUGAAGCACUCGUGGGGGUUCUUAUAACUCCAUUAAAGCGUAGAGGAAAAUAAAGAAAGGGGCUGAAGAAGGGGAAAGGAAAGAAGAAAAAGGAGGGAAAAGGGUGUUAUUAUUAUUGGAUAAAGAAAGCGAAAGGGUAUGGAGUAAGAUGCAGUGUGGCUUCUUUUAUAGAAAUGGGUCUGACAGGAAGGAAGGAGAAGAAUAAGACGACACAUUUGGCGUAAACCAGACUCAACCUUUCUUUUACUUUGACGUUAUAUUAACUAUGGUUUAAGGUUUUUUUUUUAUAUUAUUAUUAUUAUGGUUUGUUUGUGAGAGAAGUUGUUACUCCAGACCAGAGUGGGUGGUGCUAAUAAGAAAACAAAGGCUAGUUCCCUGUGUUGUGGUUGCAAUUUGGAGUUAGAUUGGAGGAGGAUUCCGUUGGGUUUAUCCAAACAAAGCACUUAUCUGUCCCUUCCUUGGAUAAAACAAAACAAGUUCUCCAUUUUUUGUUUCUAACAAACAACUAAAUUUUGAUUUGGUUGGUUUUAAUGUUAUCCUAAAGUGAGGAAGUUUAGAAAGGAAGGUAAAUGAAAAAAAAAGAGGUGUCUGAAGUGAGGUUAUGUGAUGGGGUACAGCUGGAAGUGACCCAAGGGAAGGGAAUGCAAAGAGGCUUUAUCAGUGGCAUGGCACUGAGUUGGUGAAAGUACAGAACUAACCCUCUCUUUCUAUUUCUGUUCUAUCUCUCAACGGGGAACAAAAGAAUAUGAAUGAAUAGAGGAUCUUGUUUUUUAGAACACCUCAGCAAGAGAACCCACUCUUCAUUUGUACGGUUUUCGUAGUAAGUAACUUCUUCACACUUUAGACGCAUCCCAUUCUGUCGGUGUUUCCUUUAAUUCACUAAUAUUAUUCUUAUCUCAUUUUAAUAACUUUCACAAAACUCUUUACUCAAACUAAAUUCAUUUCUUCUAAGAUUAUUUACUAUUUAUUACUUUUAGCUUUGAUUUGGAAUUAAAAAAACAAUUAUCUUUACCUCUUAGAAUAAUUUCACAAUUUUUCUUUUACUCUUCUUUCUCUCGUCCUUGUAAAUACUAAGUUCGGAUUGUAUCUGUAGAAGGCACUCUGACAUAAUGUUCAGUGCAAUUAAUGCGUAAUGAUGACGUAUCUUAUUUUUAAAAUGUGUGAUUAUUUAUAUGAUUAUCAUGAAUGAUUUCUUAUUGGAUCAAUUAAGAUUUUGAAUCAUAAUUAAAUAUGCAUUACAUAAUUUAAUCACCGUUUGAUCUUGUUAAUCUUCUGUAAGACUUAAUUAAUCUGAUUACGUGAAUCGAUUUUGACUGAGUUCCACUUGUCAUUUGGAGCCGUUACAAUCCGUAAGGUUGUCAUUAUUAAAUGCAAUUUAGGUCCACGCUUGUUCAAGAUUUUUUUAGAUCGCAAAUAGUGAAUUAUGUUUCUGGGACAGUUUUGAAAAUUGAAUUGAUUGUAUUUAUGAAUUUCUUGUGAUACCACAUUCAUUUGAGGAGACGUGAACGUAAACAUACACUUGCGAAAUCAUUUUCAAAUCAAUUAAAAUAUUCUGUUAGCUUUUCAAUAACUUAAGGGUCUAAAUCACGCUGAAAUGGACUAACCAUACAAAUUGGCAUAUAUUCUUAUUAAAGGUACAUGCAUAAAAACUAUGGCCAUAUAAAACCAAUGAGAAAAUCUAUUCUAUCCCAGACAGACAUCAUCCUAUGUAUUGCAGUCUUAAUUCUCAUAAUAUAUUUCUGUGUGGGCCUAAUUUCUUUUUAUUUUCCCACCAAAUAAUGGAAACGUCCACGUUACUUGGGAGUGUAGAACAACUGUUUUUAAUUUAAGUACUAGUCAAACACUCCAUAACUAAGUUCAUUUUAUUUAUUUAUUUACUAUACUCUGUCGGGAAAAUUACAAGUUGAUUAAUUCCUUUAUUUCACAAACUAUUGUUUAUCAGGGAGUCUGAUGGUAGAGAAUUUAUUAAUUAAAUUUUUUUAUUUGGGUAGUAUAUUGAUAGAGUUCGCACUAUAAAAAGAUUCAUCAUCUUGUUUAGGUCGAUCGACAUAAUCAAUAACAAAAUUGAUUGAUAAUUCAAUAUUAGUUAAUUUGUCUUUAUUAGGUCUAUUAAUGACAAAUGGUCCACAAUAAUAAUAUAAAUAAGCAUAGAUUAAAAAAAAAAAAAAAUAAGAGAAGUGAUGUAAUAGUUUUUUUAUUCUCACCCGUUCAAGAAUAGAUAUGUCAAUAAAAAUAAUGUAUGAUUGUGUUGAUAUUCUCAUAGAUUGAGGCAUAUUACUUCUAGUUUUGUUUUAUUUAUUAGUAAUCAUCUGACUAAUUACUUUUAAUCAUACACAUUUUAAAAAAAUAUUGAUUAAAAAUAUAACUUGAGAGGUUGAAACAUAAAGUGUUAUUUUUGUUAGAUCACCCUAACGUUGACAUGAAACAUCCAUCUAUUUUACCAGUGUCUAAUAAUAAUUUAUGCAUAGUUACAAUUGACAAAAAUGUUUUUUAAUUAGAUUUAUUUCACAAAUUCAACGUUUUAACGAAUUUUUAUUUGUAACAAGACUCCGGCUUUAAUUUCCUUUUAUUUCAACAAAAAGAUAUUCUAAAAAAACUAGGUAUCAUUUCAUAUCAAAGGUAAGAGUACAAAUAUGAUAAAAUAUGUUUUUUUAAUCAUUCUAAAACAUCUAAAGUUUAGUUAUAUUUUAAAAACAUUGUUGUUUUUAUUCCUCCUACUUUUGAUUCUUUAAACGUUGUCUAAAUAAUAUAUUGUCUUUUAUAAAACGUUAUUUAAAUUUGAAGGAUAAAAUUAUGCUUUUCAAAAUUAAAGUGACUGAAAAUAAGACAAAAGGAGUUAGAAGGGCUAAUAUAUCGAAUUUAGUUGUUCUUUUUAAGAAGAAACCAAUAAAGAUACUUUACUCCUUUUUAUUUAAAAACUAAUUUGUUGACUAUUCAGGUAACAUAUGGACCUGCAGUAUAAGAUUUUUUUUUUAUUGUUGUUAUAAAAGCAACUUAUAGUUGACCGGUUAGUUUUAAAAGACAAUGAAAUAUGAAGAAUAUUAAAAAAUUAUACUAAAAUCUAAAUUUUUGGCAUAUUAAAAUUAAAAGUUAUGGUAAUGAUUUUUGCAUACUCAUCAAAGGAAAAAACAUAAAUUUAUUUUGAAUGUGUGUUUUGUUUGUGAAGUCUCUUUUAGAGUAUGGGAUUACCAUUGAUGUCAAUUGUUUAAAAUAUUACUUUGUCUCUUUCAAGAGAGACAAUUCUUUUAUGUGUCAAUCGAACAAAUCAUGUAAUAAUAAAGAGAGAUGAUAAGUAAAAAAAAAAAAAACACUCCAUUUUAGAGUUCAAUUUAAACAACUAAAAACUGUACACGUUGCUCUCUAUUUGUUCCACAGUACGUUAAAAAAGGAAUUGUGUUAAAUGUUUAAUUAAUAAUAUCGCAGGUGACAUCUGCACACCUUCAAUAAUUGAAUUUUGACUAGUUUUCUCAGUAUUUUUGGAUUUCUUAUUUGUCUUAAAAAAAGGCAAAGUAAGUUGUGAUUGUGUUAUAAUGAAACGCAUAAUAAGUGUAGAGAAGUAUGAAAAAAGAUAAGGUGUUUGUUUAGUGAUUAGUAGUAUUGGAAUGAAUUAUUUUGAAAAGUAGUUUGAUAGAGAGAGAUGUAUAAUAAAAAAAUGAUAAUGAGAUGAGAAGAAAGGUGGGUGAAAGAAUAAAGGUAAGGGUCCCAGUUGGUUCGAAAACCAGGGGCAACCACGUAGGAUUAAGGGUAGAUGACAAAUAUGGUACCUUCAAGUGAUGCCCCAUUUCAAGAUUUCCACGAUCUUCUUGUCUCACUGUUUCCAUCUAAUCAUGCAAUACAAUGCAGUGUAUUUCCAAACAGGAUUCUAAUUAAAACAACCAUUUUCAGUUCUUCUAUUUACAUCUCACUCCUUCUAUUCGGACAAAAUUUGUUAUUUUUGUUUUUCCACUUUUUUUUCUCAUUCAAAUAUGUUCAGUUUUUUGUUCUUUCUCCGACUUAGUUUUGGGUGUGACAUUCUCUGACUAAGUGGCCUUUAAAGUGAUGUUUUAUACAACUAAAUCGUUAUCGGUACAUAAAAUAAUUGAGAGAUGAGCAAUAAUUUUAUGAGUUGCAUGAUUAUAACACCGUCCUAGUUUAAUCUGCAAAUUGCUUAAAGUUUUUAUUUAAUUUUGUAAAAGGUACAAAUUGGAUGGGUUGUGGCAGUGGUGCAGGACAGUGUUGUAUGCAUGAGGUGAAGAAAUGUAAGCAAUAGGGAAACGUAGCUGUCAUGCUUUCUAUAUAGCUCAGAACUAGACGUGUUAAAACACUCAUGGUUUCUGCACAGAAUGCUAUAAAACAAACUACACUUAAUUACCAUCAUCAUCAUCUGAAACUACAACCAAUUUCAUUCUAAUAAACUCUUAAGCAUAUUCAUGAUAGGCUCUGUAUUUGCCAUUCAAAAAAUGCUUCCAAUUUCUGCAUUUCUUAUUCAAUAUAUAUACAUAUAUUGUAGUUGGUUAUUAAGAUCACAGAUAACCCUCCUCUCUCUAUCCGACAAGAAUGACCAUUCAUUUUGCAACCUCUUCUUUUCCUAAACAAAAGGAACAAACUAGUGCAAAGGUUGUGUUCUUAUUUUAUGUUUCUUCUCCUGAAAACGGUCUUUAAAAUAUACAUGUAUUUUGGACCUCUUUUCUUAUGCUCUUUCCAUGGAUUCUUUCUCUUUUGCUCUGUCAAAGCAUCUCCUUCAAGACUCAAAAUUAGUAGCUUUUAGCUAGCUAAAAGAAGCACUGCCUUUGCAUUUGCAUGAUGAUGAAGGGCAUCAUCAGAGAUUGAACUAAAAAGAAAAACUGGAUUGCACACUAGUUUUAGUAGCAUACUCUUCAGACUUAGACUAGCCUUGGUGCCGGUUGAAAAUGAGAAGAUAAUUACAGAGAAAGACAAUAAAAGAAAGAGGCAAAGCUUAGGCUGAUAUGAGAUGAGAUGGUUGCAAAACAAGUAGUGGCACUAGAAUUCAAGUGAAGGGUGUCAAGGUUUUCUUCUAAUAUAAGGGAAGGUGUUGGAGCUACUACUCUCUUCAUGCUCAUCUGAUUCAUUGGUAACCCCACUGGCGCCAGAAUUUGAGGAAUCGCUCUUGUUCUGCGCCAUGAAGUUAUAGAAAACCAUCUUCGACUUUCUCACCAUCCCCUUAUCCACUCUGCCUCGCAAACUCUCCAUCUCCUUCUCCUCCCCGUUUCUACUACCACUUCUCCUCUUCAAAAAUAUGCGACACAGAACCCAAUUUUCCAUGGGAACUUCAACCACAGGGCUCUGCACGCGCACACACAAACAAACCAAAAACACUGUGUGAGUAAUUAAUGCAUGCGUGGGGAUAAUUUGAGGUUAAUUUGGUAGCUCUGAAUCCUCACCUGAGACAGAGAGGAAGUGGGCGCGUUAAGAAGGCGAUAUUCAUGCAUGAUCCAGUCAGUUCUAGAUCCAUGAG
rnacentral:lncRNA from 1 species